ensembl:lncRNA
AUCUUCUGCACAUACUGCUGGAGCUGGGACAAACAAUGGAAAACAAAACCUAAUUUUCAUUGCUUUCUCCUUUCUCUUCCAGAAAAGAAAUGACAAAAUAUAUUAGAACAUCAAAACCCGGGCACAUUUGUUUGACUGCAGCUAUACCACGUUCUUUAAAAGCUAUUAGAGGUUUCUAAGUUCCCUAUUUAUCUUCCAGUUUCAUUGCAUUAUGAAAGAUGUCUUCCAGGCUUGAAUAUGGGUCUACAUGUUGAACCUUUGGUACAAUACCCUUUCAGAUGGUGCAACUCCCUGAUGAUCUUCAGCAACCAUAUGGAAACCCACCAAUGGGAAAUAAUGGAAUAGUGAAAACCCAUUAAAGUUACCUUGGAGGACAAAGGUUCCACUUGAAAGACUAUUUGUUCACUUGAUGCGCCCCACCAGACAUGAUGGAGCACAUCUGGACUAUCCCAAGGGACUACCCCAAAAUAAGAAGUAACCUCUCCCCACUUACUCUGGCCCUUUGCAAUCAGAGGGAAUUUUCCCCAUAAAGUCUUUGGUAUCCUCCCUCCAGCUAUGACUACUGCCCAGAGCUGCCAGCUCUGCAAGGAUUAGCUGUUGGUUACCCUUGAGUCUCCCAUCACACAGCAGUCUGAAUGAUACCAGAAAGGGAAAAAUGAAUUGUCUUUCUCUGGAUUGAUGGGAAAGUCCUGUAGUGCCCACCGACUGGUGGCUGAACGCCUUCUCUUCAGCCAUCUGGCCUCGGAGUGUGUGAAGGCAGGCGAUAACAGCUGAAGCUGGAAAACAGAAGCAGAAAAGGGCAGAGGAAGACAUUUGUGCUAACAGAAACUGUUCUGCUGGAUUACAGGUGUUGUAUUUCUUUGGCAACAAAUGUCAGACAUUUGUAGAA